CAGUGGGGAAUAUUGCAUCAAUGGGCGCAAGCCUGACGCAGCAACGCCGCGUGAGGGACGACGGCCUUCGGGUUGUAAACCUCUUUUAGCAGGGAAGAAGCGAAAGUGACGGUACCUGCAGAAAAACGCACCGGCUAACUACGUGCCAGCAGCCGCGGUAAUACGUAGGGUGCAAGCGUUAUCCGGAAUUAUUGGGCGUAAAGAGCUCGUAGGCGGUCUGUCGCGUCUGCUGUGAAAACCCGAGGCUCAACCUCGGGCCUGCAGUGGGUACGGGCAGACUAGAGUGCGGUAGGGGAGAUUGGAAUUCCUGGUGUAGCGGUGGAAUGCGCAGAUAUCAGGAGGAACACCGAUGGCGAAGGCAGAUCUCUGGGCCGUAACUGACGCUGAGGAGCGAAAGGGUGGGGAGCAAACAGGCUUAGAUACCCUGGUAGUCCACCCCGUAAACGUUGGGAACUAGUUGUGGGGUCCAUUCCACGGAUUCCGUGACGCAGCUAACGCAUUAAGUUCCCCGCCUGGGGAGUACGGCCGCAACGGCUAAAACUC
rnacentral:rRNA from 1 species